UUGGUUACAAGACAGUUUAACAUAAUUAUAAAUAAACUCUGUCUCUCCCGAUUUUUACAAAUGGUUAAUUGUUACCCCCAGACCAAUAACGGCCCCAAAACUGCCUCGAAAGAACUCAAAACAAUUUCGAUAUUUUUUUUAUUGCAAUCUAAUGCAAUAACGUGUCUCCCCUUAGACGAGACGACAGCGCCGCGCACCGUUACGUCAUAAUUUCAUGAACAUCACCAGGGUACCAUACAAUUAAAGCGCCUACCGCUACCGCAAUGCACAUUAUCGUACUUACAUGAUUGUAACAGUAUAAUCUAAUCAUGGUAAGUACGUAUUUAAGUGAUUAAGGUACAAUACACUAUAAGGCGAGUGAAAACACAGUGGAAAAUAGUGAAAAUAGACGAAAUUUCCAAAAUGCGAUACAAGCGACAUCUAGACAAUGGCAUUUGCACAGACAGGUCCGUCAUGAACGACAUUUUGAGUUGAACGUGAACCGAACCUACCAGGCGAGCAUAAGAGCGAGUCGGUGUACGUUACCUAUUCCUUCUCCCUCGACGCGGUCCGUGAUUCGCCCGUCCAGCAUACGGACCCCGCCCACUUUCGCCCCCCAAGCUACGCCCACGCCACAUUUCACGUUGUUCGCCUUCAUCGCUAUCUAGAAAUAAAAUGAGUAAUUAUUACGUAUCAGGUAAUUUUGUGAUUUUUAGUAGUGGUUCUUUCUUUGUUUAUUUUCUUGGGUUUAAUAAAUUUGUUUUAUGAAAUGAAA